CGUACUCAGUUCGGAUUGUAGUCUGCAACUCGACUACAUGAAGCUGGAAUCGCUAGUAAUCGCGCAUCAGCCACGGCGCGGUGAAUACGUUCCCGGGCCUUGUACACACCGCCCGUCAAGCCAUGGAAGCCGGGAGUGCCUGAAGUGCGUGAGCGCAAGCAGCGCCCUAAGGUAAAACCGGUGACUGGGGCUAAGUCGUAACAAGGUAGC
rnacentral:rRNA from 1 species